GUGAUCCUUUCAGCAGCAUAUAUGCUUACAUUGGAACAAUGCAGAGAAGAUUAGCAUGGCCUGUAUGCAAGGAUGACAUGGAAAUUUGUGGGGCGUUCCAUAUUUUU
ensembl:snRNA U6 U6 spliceosomal RNA